AUUAGGGCUUAUAUAUUAGACUUAUUUCCAUGAUGUAACGGAGACACCACCCCUUGGGGGCUGAAUCAAGAUUACAUAUGCUCUUUUCUUCUCUUUCUUUUUAGAUUAGAUUAGAACCCUAGAUUAGAUUAGAGUUGAAGUUUGAAGCAAUUGGAGAGCAUAGGAAAUUUGAAUUGGAGCAAGAGAUAUCAGAUUUGCAUUCCCAAAUCCCUAACUUCUCUUUACUUCUAUCUUUAUUUCUCAAUGUAUAAUCAAUUGUGGAUUGUGGGGUUUGAUUCUAUGAUGAACUAAACUCUAUAUUGAGAUUACACUGGAUUCUAUUGAUUAGUUUAAUCUGAUAUACUUCAUUGUUAACCUUAUUAAUUGUUAUGUGAUUGUCUUUUAAGAUUUAUGGUUAUUUGCUUAGUUGAUUGGCCAUCAAUUACUGUGAUAACCCAUAUGAACUUGAAAGACGGAGUAUGGGUUUAGAUUUGAUUUUGAU
rnacentral:lncRNA from 1 species